rnacentral:sRNA from 1 species
UCUAGAGUCUAGAAUUACCGAAUUUUACCCUUGAUCUAAAUUCUUAGCAGUAAUACUUUAGAAAAUUUCAUAUGCAGUACAAUUAGGUUCAAUUAAAUACAUAAGCAUUGUCUUUUUAGCUCAGAAUUAUUUCAUCUUAGAAGCAGUCAUAACAGAUAUAAACAG